rnacentral:rRNA from 1 species
CUACGGGGUGCUCCAGUGGGGAAUAUUGCACAAUGGGCGCAAGCCUGAUGCAGCCAUGCCGCGUGUAUGAAGAAGGCCUUCGGGUUGUAAAGCACUUUCAGCGGGGAGGAAGGGAGUAAAGUUAAUACCUUUGCUCAUUGACGUUACCUGCAGAAGAAGCACCGGCUAACUCCGUGCCAGCAGCCGCGGUAAUACGGAGGGUGCAAGCGUUAAUCGGAAUUACUGGGCGUAAAGCGCACGCAGGCGGUUUGUUAAGUCAGAUGUGAAAUCCCCGGGCUCAACCUGGGAACUGCAUCUGAUACUGGCAAGCUUGAGUCUGGUAGAGGGGGGUAGAAUUCCAGGUGUAGCGGUGAAAUGCGUAGAGAUCUGGAGGAAUACCGGUGGCGAAGGCGGCCCCCUGGACGAAGACUGACGCUCAGGUGCGAAAGCGUGGGGAGCAAACAGGAUUAGAUACCCUCGUAGUC